GGCGAACGUUGGCGGCGUGCCUAAUACAUGCAAGUUGAGCGCUGAAGGUUGGUACUUGUACCAACUGGAUGAGCAGCGAACGGGUGAGUAACGCGUGGGGAAUCUGCCUUUGAGCGGGGGACAACAUUUGGAAACGAAUGCUAAUACCGCAUAAAAACUUUAAACACAAGUUUUAAGUUUGAAAGAUGCAAUUGCAUCACUCAAAGAUGAUCCCGCGUUGUAUUAGCUAGUUGGUGAGGUAAAGGCUCACCAAGGCGAUGAUACAUAGCCGACCUGAGAGGGUGAUCGGCCACAUUGGGACUGAGACACGGCCCAAACUCCUACGGGAGGCAGCAGUAGGGAAUCUUCGGCAAUGGACGAAAGUCUGACCGAGCAACGCCGCGUGAGUGAAGAAGGUUUUCGGAUCGUAAAACUCUGUUGGUAGAGAAGAACGUUGGUGAGAGUGGAAAGCUCAUCAAGUGACGGUAACUACCCAGAAAGGGACGGCUAACUACGUG
rnacentral:rRNA from 1 species